rnacentral:rRNA from 1 species
GGGAUCCUCUAGAGAUUCGCGGCCUAUCAGCUUGUUGGCGAGGUAGUGGCUCACCAAGGCGACGACGGGUAGCCGGCCUGAGAGGGCGACCGGCCACACUGGGACUGAGACACGGCCCAGACUCCUACGGGAGGCAGCAGUGGGGAAUAUUGCGCAAUGGGCGAAAGCCUGACGCAGCAACGCCGCGUGCGGGAUGAAGGCCUUCGGGUUGUAAACCGCUUUCAGCAGGGAAGAAGCGAAAGUGACGGUACCUGCAGAAGAAGCACCGGCUAACUACGUGCCAGCAGCCGCGGUAAUACGUAGGGUGCAAGCGUUGUCCGGAUUUAUUGGGCGUAAAGAGCUCGUAGGCGGUUAGUCACGUCGGAUGUGAAAACUCAGUGCUUAACACUGAGCCUGCAUUCGAUACGGGCUGACUAGAGUAUUGUAGGGGAGACUGGAACUCCUGGUGUAGCGGUGAAAUGCGCAGAUAUCAGGAAGAACACCGGUGGCGAAGGCGGGUCUCUGGGCAAUUACUGACGCUGAGGAGCGAAAGUGUGGGGAGCAAACAGGAUUAGAUACCCUGGUAGUCCACACCGUAAACGGUGGGCGCUAGGUGUGGGGAUCAUUCCACGAUCUCCGUGCCGCAGCUAACGCAUUAAGCGCCCC